GAAGAAAAACAUUAAUAAGACGCCCAAAUAAUAACUCUUGUUAUAUAAUCAAAUUAAUGACCCUGUGAGAACAAAUCUGAGUGGGAAGAACCAAGAAGGCAGCUGAUCCCAGCCGAACAGAAGGAUUGGCUUACGGUGUGCCAGCUCGGCUUUCAGGGCACGCAGGUUGUAAAGCGAUUGCAUAAAUCCAUCAGCUGAGCAUGGAAAUGAAGGAUGGAGCCAGCCAGGGUCACCUGCAGCCGGAUCUUCUCCAGGCCAUUUAGCUGCUGGAUGGAGUCCUCACCUUAGGAGCCAGGGACGAGUUUUCUGAAGAAUGAGCAAAGGAGAAGAAGAAACAUUUUGCUUGCUCUCUUUUCAUGAAAGGAAGCAAAAGGGGCACAGAAAACAGCCUCCAUGUAAAUGAACAUCAGAUUGAGAUCGUUGUGACUUCCCUGCCAGCAGCAAAAAGCUACCGAAGGAGAAAGCAUGGGGCAAGACUUACAAGGUCCCAUUUAGAAGACGCUCCUAAACACGGACCAUUACACUCUUUCAAUGGUUUGCCUUUUUUUUCCCCACUGUUUAAAAAAUGUCUCCUGUUUUAAUUUGAUCAGUGCCAAAUCUGCAAUGUUUCAUUUCUAACGAAUCCUAGCUCUGGAUGCACCUAGGUGGGUUCCCCCCCCCCCCACUUCAAGAGAUGCUGCUGAGUGUUUGGAGAAACUGAGGCCCUCCACUCUGCCCUCUUGCUGCUGGGAUUUACACCUACCUAAGGGAGAACAGAAUUGCUUCCUUUGUAGGCUUAAACUCAUCUUUUCAUAUGAAUGUUUCUCCAGAGAAGUUCCCACAAAUGCAUCUCUCUGUUUUUUCUUCUUUUUUUUGCAACUUUUCAUCAACUCAUUGGAAAAAUAAUAGGUCCAAUUGGCAAAUGACACAAAUCAUAUUGUCAUCCAAACUAAUCUAAUCUCCAAGCUAAUCUUAGAGGCAGCAAUAAAGUUUAAAAUGAUUUUGAGAGACUAAAGGAGUAGGUUGAGGAAAUUGAAUGGAACCAACUAGAAAAUAAAUGCAGGUAGCUCCUAAAUUCCAAGAACAGGCCUCAAAUAUUUGGGGCUCUCGACUUUUAAAAUUCAGAGAAGUCAAAACAGAGAAAGAGAAGGGCAACGAGCAUCAUCAACAGACUGGAAAUUAAACAAUACAAGGAGAAGGUGAGGACAGAGAGAUAUUUAGUUUGGAAAGAAAUGGCAAAGAGAAUAUAUGAUAGUGUUCUUCAGUUACCUGAUGAGAAGCCAGACAGAAGAAAACAGAGACCUAUUCCCUCUCAUCCCAGGGUGCGGGAUAUGGAACAAGACCUAAAGUUAUAGGGAGGCCAAUUCCAGUUGAAUGGUAAAAGCAUUUCCCAACAAAAAGAAGAGCUGAAUAGUGGAGCCAAUGAUUUAGGAAGGUUGUAGAUGCAGGUUGGAUUAAUCGUCUGAGCGUCCCUUUCCAACUUUAUGCUUCUACUAUUUUCAUUGAAAAUAAACCAGGCCAAAGCAAUGAAUCAACAAAAGGCAGUUUUGGCUUGUAAAGGUUUUGGUUUAGUUACUAGUUUAUUUACUUCCUAUUUUCUUCUUUUAUUUCUUUUCCAUUUGCACACCAGCCAUUCCCUGGCAGCAGGCUAGAGAAGGCCAGGAAUUGUUGCUCCUUUGUUCCAAACAUCAUCAUAAAUACCUAGAUAAUGCCAAAAUUUGACAGCAACGGGACUUUUUCUUUGCUAUUAUUAAUUUCCAUACAGUCAUAGAUGAGAAAUUAAGAUUAAAGUCAGAACAAGAUGCUUCAAGGCAAAUUAUUGGGUGCAAAUAUCAUUAAAAAAUGAAGCAACAUGCUUAUCAUCAAGCAUCAUUUAUCCAAAUCUAUUAAUGAUGAUACAGAGAAUCUUAAUAGUUCUUUUCAUAGCACAAAAUGUUGCAAAUUUUUCCAGAGAUUCUGAUAUACCAAUACUUUAAUUAAAAAACUUAAAAUCUAUGAAUAGGGUCGAUUCACACAAUUGCUAAUAUUGGGAAACAUUAACGCACCCUGCUAGAUAAAGGUGUAAAGGACAACCCUGUGUCCUUGUCUUGGUGCUCAAAUAGACAGCUGUCACUAAUGAGAGCUGUGAUUUGAUUUCCCCUCCAAGACCUUCGAAGAGAAAGGCAUCCCGUCUCUUGCAAAUGUCCUCCUUGAAGAGCAGGAAGGGAGUUAUAAAAAUACCGUGGGAUGGUCUAAGGGAGCCACUGACGUCAUAUUAAUGAUGAUUGAAAGUUUGAAAUCUGUUCUGUAAAUUGAUAUCAUAAUUUAUCAAUUUAUACAUGAUGUGUAUAAAUUCUAAACGGAGAUGAAUUCUCUAGCAAGAAAACAAUUAAAAUAGGAACUAGCCAUGCAUAUUUGAUUAUAAAACUGGAAUUCUGUAUCAAAUAACUCAAAAUGUCCUAAUUGGUAGUUUUCUGGUUGGUCGGCUUCUUGACCAGACAGCGACAUACUUAAGCACGAAUACACCCUGACUUUGGGCAAAUAUUUCCAGGGAAUAAAUCGGUCACACUUUAUAAUGAGGGAGAGCGAGAGGGAGGGAUGGCUGACUCCUGUUUGAUCAGCAAAACCAGAUGUUCCCUUCCCUUGGACAGCAGCAGGGAUGAGGUCAUUGGGAAAUGAAUCCAGGAGAAAUAAUUGCACAGGGCUGCAUUUGUUUGGACUGCAAGAUGAUAUGUCCAAAAAGAUAGUUUCAAAUAGCAAAAAUAAACAUUUGUACAAUCCUUGCUUUCAGUUGGUUCCUGGUUUGGGUGGGUCAUGUUGCUGAGAAGCCGCUAGGAAAGCAGGCAUAGCCCAUUGAGAAAGAGUGCAAGAAACACCAUAAUUAACUUUCCAUCUUAUCUAAUCGGCAGUAUCUAAACUAAGGCUGCCCGUGUAGGUGACUGCGCACAUCCAGACAUCUCCCGGAGCUUCGCAGGGCUUGCUUCUGUUAGUAAGUUUGCUCACGUGAAUUGCAACCUGACAGUUUAUUCCAAAACCCUUUUGACUGGCGGCACAGAGUGGUCUGGUUUUCCUUCUGUUGACACAAAAAUGUUGUAAAAUGUUUGCACUGAAUCCCUUGCUAGUUGUUCAUCAGCUCCAUAAUAGGCUAAUCCCAAAUAGCUGAGAGGUUAUUUUCUUACAGUGAUUUCAUUCAUACAAAUCUUUACAGGUUUUUUUAAAUCCUUAAACUACCUUCCUUAUACUGAUCUGUAUAAAUACAGAUAUUUAUAUAUCUGUUCCUUUCAAAUCCCCAAAAUUUCCCUCUGACCAUUCCAGCGAUAGAUCUAUCUAAAGUCUCCACAACAACCUAGUAGUGAAUCUCCAACAGAUUCCAAUAGAUCUCAUACGUGUCAGUUUCAUUGUGCAUAAUUAUGUUUCCAUGUACACCAUUAGCUAAUUAAUGUACGUUUUAGCUAUAUAUACUUGAAGUUUACAAUUAUUGUUAAUUACAAAGUCUACAUUUUGGGGAAAAAAUAAAAAUAAUUACAUCUUCA